rnacentral:sRNA from 1 species
AUGUACCUACGUAGACGCCGGUUUCUCCGCGCCGUCCGCACCUACCUGACGGCUGCUCGCAACGUUUUUUUAGCC